GGAUAAGGAAAGUAAAAAAGGGCGCAUGGCGGAUGCCUUGGCUCUCGGAGGCGAUGAAGGACGUGAUAAGCUGCGAUAAGCUUUGGGGAGGUGCAAAUGACCUUUGAUCCAGAGAUUUCCGAAUGGGACAACCCAAUAUCUUGAAGAGGUAUUAUCUUACUAUGUAAGAGGCUAACGCAGGGAACUGAAACAUCUUAGUACCUGCAGGAAAAGAAAAUAAACAAUGAUUCCCCCAGUAGUGGCGAGCGAACGGGGAACAGCCCAAACCAUCCAUGUUACGGCAUGGGUGGGGUUGUAGGACUACGCCGUUGCAUGAAGACAUCAGAGAAGAACUUUCUGGAAAGAAAGACCAUAGAGCAUGACAGUUGCGUAUUCGAAUGUUGUCGAAGCAUAGUAGUAUCCUGAGUAGCGCGGAGCACGAGGAAUUCUGCGUGAAUCUGCCGGGACCAUCCGGUAAGGCUAAAUACUCCCGAGAGACCGAUAGCGAACCAGUACCGUGAGGGAAAGGUGAAAAGCACUUCGAACAGAAGAGUGAAAUAGUUCCUGAAACCGUGCGCCUACAAGCGGUCGGAGCUCGUUAAUGAGUGACGGCGUGCCUUUUGCAUAAUGAACCUACGAGUUGCCUUUGCCGGCAAGGUUAAGUGUGACGACACACGUAUCCGAAGCGAAAGCGAGUCUGAACAGGGCGUAUAGUCGGCAGUGGCAGACGCGAAACCAAGUGAUCUACCCUUGGCCAGGUUGAAGGCUGGGUAACACCAGCUGGAGGACCGCACCAAUAAGCGUUGAAAAGCUUCUGGAUGAGCUGAGGGUAGGGGUGAAAGGCUAAUCAAACUUGGAGAUAGCUCGUACUCCCCGAAAUGCAUUUAGGUGCAGCCUUGCGGGUUACUGAUGUGAGGUAGAGCGACUGAUAAGAUGCGAGGGCUUCACCGCCUAUCAAGUCUUGACAAACUCCGAAUGCGCAUCAGUUCUACCGCAGGAGUGAGGGCAUGGGUGCUAAGGUCCGUGCCCGAGAGGAGAAGAAUCCGGACCACCUGCUAAGGUCCCGAAAUGACAGCUAAGUUAAACUAACGAAGUCUGACUGCUAAGACAGCUAGGAUGUUGGCUUGGAAGCAGCCAUUCAUUUAAAGAGUGCGUAACAGCUCACUAGUCGAGGAGUCGGGCGUGGAUAAUAAUCGGGUAUCAAGUUGUCUACCGAAGCAGUGGGAUCAUUUAUAUGAUCGGUAGGGGAGCAUUCCAGUCAGCGUCGAAGGCGUACCGUGAGGUAUUCUGGAGCGUCUGGAAAAGCAAAUGUAGGUAUAAGUAACGAUAAAGGGGGCGGGAAACCCCCUCGCCGAAAGACUAAGGUUUCCUGAUCAACGCUAAUCGGAUCAGGGUCAGUCGGGUCCUAAGGCUCAGCCGAACGGCGAUGCCGAUGGCAGAAACGGUUAAUAUUCCGUUACUACCUUCAGGAGUGACGUGGAGACGCAGUAGUGACAGUGCCGCCAUCUGACGGAAUAGAUGGUUGAAGGGUGUAGGAGUCGAUCAUGGCAGGCAAAUCCACCAUGAGAUCCGAACCUGACAGUAUGCCGCGUCCUUCGGGACAAGGCAAUAGUGCGCGUAAGCAUGCUGCCGAGAAAAUCCGCUAAACUUAAUCCUGCAGGUACCCGUACCGCAAACGGACACACGUAGUCGGGAUGAAUAUUCUAAGGCGCUUGAGUGAUUCACGGUUAAGGAACUAGGCAAACUGACCCUGUAACUUCGGGAUAAAGGGUCCCUACCCUUUUAUGGGAGGGCGCAGAGAAUCGGUCCAGGCAACUGUUUAACAAAAACACAGGGCUGUGCCAAAUCGAAAGAUCCAGUAUACAGCCUGACACCUGCCCGGUGCUGGAAGGUUAAGAGGAGAUGUCAUCGAUAAGAGAAGCGUUGAAUUGAAGCCCCAGUAAACGGCGGCCGUAACUAUAACGGUCCUAAGGUAGCGAAAUUCCUUGUCGGGUAAGUUCCGACCUGCACGAAUGGUGUAAUGAUCUGGACGCUGUCUCAACCGUGAGCUCAGUGAAAUUGUAGUAUCGGUGAAGAUGCCGAUUACCCGCGAUGGGACGAAAAGACCCCGUGAACCUUUACUAUAGCUUAUCAUUGAAUCUGGGCACGUGAUGUGUAGGAUAGGUCGGAGGCUUUGAAGCAGGUACGCCAGUAUUUGUGGAGCCGCUGUUGAAAUACGACCCUUUAUUUGUUUGGAUUCUAACCCGUGGAUACGGGGACAUUGAUUGGUGGGUAGUUUGACUGGGGUGGUCGCCUCCAAAAGCGUAACGGAGGCUUCUAAAGGUGCCCUCCGGCCGAUUGGUAACCGGCCUUAGAGUGUAAUGGCAUAAGGGCGCUUGACUGGGAGACUGACAAGUCGAUCAGGUAGGAAACUAGAGCAUAGUGAUCCGGUGUUUCCGUAUGGAAGGGACAUCGCUCAAAGGAUAAAAGGUACUCCGGGGAUAACAGGCUGAUCCCUCCCAAGAGCUCAUAUCGACGGAGUGGUUUGGCACCUCGAUGUCGGCUCGUCACAUCCUGGGGCUGGAGAAGGUCCCAAGGGUUGGGCUGUUCGCCCAUUAAAGUGGCACGCGAGCUGGGUUCAGAACGUCGUGAGACAGUUCGGUCUCUAUCUAUCGUGGGCGUAUGAAAUUUGCGUGGCUCUGACACUAGUACGAGAGGACCGUGUUGGACAGACCUCUGGUUUGCCGGUUGUGCCGCCAGGUGCAUUGCCGGGUAUCUAAGUCUGGAUCGGAUAAGUGCUGAAAGCAUCUAAGUACGAAGCCGGCCACAAGAUUAGAUUUCUCAGGGUCGUUGUAGACUACGACGUUGAUAGGAUGCAGGUGUAAAG
rnacentral:rRNA from 1 species